rnacentral:lncRNA from 1 species
ACUUACAAGAUUCUUGGCAGCUUUAGGGUCGUUGACUGUGUCAUACGUCUCUGUGUAAGCUGGGAUAACAGGAAAUUCCUUACCCUUCUCUUUGUGGUGGACCACCCUGUAGAUGAUAGGUAGCCGCCCCGUGUGGUGCUCCGACUCCUUCUUACCACGGUUGGUCUUGUUAGCCGCCAAUCGUGUCUGCCAAUCACAAAGUAUGUAGUUCAUAUUAAUGGCAGUUUCUCUUAGCCAUUAACAAUGCCAUUAACAAUAGAUAUUAUGAAAUAAAGCAAUUGAGCUAAGGAAAAAUAAUUAUGCUAUUGGAUUAAACUGAGCAAUAUCACCCCACAUAACAAGCAUAGUUGUGUUGUGGAUUACAAGCUGAUAAGUUGAGCAGUAUCAAUGCUAGCAAUCAAAGCUAAAGCAGUCAGGUCGAGAUAGCAAAAGUAACAUUUUAUUAGUUUUUGAGAAAUCCUUUUUGGCAAGACCUAUAUCCAAUUAUAUACAUACAUCCAAUACAGAGAGGACAAGCUUAUCACAAAGAAUUGUAAAAAAACUAGCAAAUAAUCAGAUAAAGGGAAUUUCUGGGCAGUUUUCAAAUCAACCAAACAACUUUGAUACCAAUAGUCGUCAAACUGAUAGUUAACUGAAGAAAAAGAAAGGGAGGACAAUUCUUGGUCUAACAGAAAAAUUAUGUUUUUCUACAAUGACAUUAGCUAUGGAAAAAUUUCCAAUAGCACAAGCUUGGAAUAUCGAACAACUUGCUUGUUGAUAAGGAAGAUGCAUCAAAUGGCACGAAGAAAAUAGAGAAUAUAUAUGCACAGCACCGAAAUAGAAAAUAGAGAAUAUAUAUGCACAGCUGUUCUGACCAUCCUGCACCUAAGCCAAAAAAAAAUUGGAGAAGAAACAAACACACCGAAAACUGGUUUGAUACCCAUAUUUCGACUCUAACUACAUGGAACAAUGCAAGUCAAAAGAGGCACAAAAUUUUAAAUGCAUUAAAACAAAUUGAUCAUCCAACCAAGUGAAAACAAAGCAUAACGAGGAAACAACAAAGAAUACAUACAUGAAGUAAAUGGAAUUUAUCAUGAACAAAUUAGUAGCAACAUGGGAGUUGGGAUAUCCCAGGAUUCCAGAAACCUUACUAAAGUCAGAAAUGACUAUUAUAAUAGAGUAUCAAAACCACAACGUUGGGAUAUCCUAGGAUUCCAGGAACCUCACUAAAGUCAGAAAUGACUGUUAUAAUAGAG